GCGCGCCCGACGCGGCCCCCAGCGUUCUUCGCCCUGGGACCCUCCUUGCUUUUUGAGGCUCUGAGGACAGUGCCGAGAGCUGGGGAGGGAAGGAAGUAGCAAGGGUGAAGUGGGGUGGCAGAGAGGCGGACACUGGCCACUUGCGGGAGACUGGAUGUCCGGGAGACAGGCCUACUGCAUGCAGCAUCGUUGGUGUGGUACGUAAUUUGGUAUGACUGUAUCCAUUGUCAAGGAGCAGUGUGGGAUAGUGACAAGAGCUGAGGCUUCCACACCAGGGAAAUCUGGGUCCAGAUGCUGCCUAAGGCAUUAGCACUCUCUGUGCCCUUGGGCUCUACAGAUGCAUCAUCAAGGUCAAGGGUGUUGCUACUUGUAACUUAGAACAACAUAGCAUUGUCGUCUGUUUAAAUCCCUCUUCAGGGAUGAUACCCUCCCAUCUAUUCAUUCUGCAAGAUUCUAGAAUCUUAGACAACAUUCUAUCAAGUAGAACCUUCUGGAUUUCAUUUUGGCCUUAUUCACUGAAAAUUAUGGAGCCCAAAGCUUUCGUUUAUACUGCUUCUAUAUAUAUCUCCAGGGCAAGAAAAUGGAUGAGAAGAAUGGUUAUCUUACAGCUUUUCAAACAGAAACUCAUUACAAUCUCAGUUAAUGAAGCAUGGAGAAAUCAAAAUCAAAGCAUCAGCAUUUACUACCUCCUAGAUGCCUGGAACUUUUCAAAGUGAAUUACAGAGCAGAUUCACACCCUUUAAAGAAUUUGUAAAUUCAGAAACGGCUGGGAGCAGGUGAGUAUUUCUGCAAAAUUUGAGAGGUGUGGAUCUAUGACCAAGGAAGCAAAGAUUGUGGCAUCCCCAGAAGCUUUCCUUUUGAAUCAGGAGCUGCUUUGACCAGGACUUGCGUGGUAUAGUGUUCGCAGAAGCACGGAUGGCCAAGGACCUCUAUCCUAUUAUUUACUCUUAUUACUUCCUGGUGUUGGCACUUCCGCAGAAAAUGUUGACGCGUGACAUCAAAGGCGAAGAGGAGAUCCGCAAUCCCUAGUUCCUUCGCUGCUCCUCCUAAGCUGAGGGAAGCGAGCGUGGGGAAAACGUGCAAAUAUCAAGGAGCAAAAUCAAAACAGCCAAGUUCAUUUGGGGCGGCGUACGUGAUUCAAAGCGCGGUGAACAUCCGCGGCGAGGUCUUGCCGCAUUACUUCUAUGAGAAGGCACGAUGCAGUAGCUGGGAGCUGGGGCUCUGGUGCUAGACCCCAGCGUGGCCAACUUGUAUCCUUGGGCUCGGCCGGCUUCAGGACACAGCACAGGAGCGGAAUGCUGAACCAGGGCUUGUGGCAUAUGAAUUGCAACAUUUCCAUAUUUUUCCUGCACAAACAGCUGGGACCAGAUUGUAUACACAUUUCAGGUUCAACAAGAGUGUUUGUAGACUAUUGAAAGGUGGAUUUAUAUAUAAGACUUAUUUCCCAUUGAAGACAUCAGAUU